GGGCUCGUAGCUCAGCGGUUAGAGCGGCCGGCUCAUAACCGGUUGGUCGUAGGUUCGAUCCCUACCGAGCCCACCA
rnacentral:tRNA from 1 species